GGGGACGAUCGGUUUCGACGAGGAUAUAAGGAUUUUGAAUUCGCAGGUCGGGGAUUUGGCAGCCUCGUUAAAAAAGCCUUAAAAAUCAUAUUUGGCGAAGAUAACUAUUCUUACGCAUUAGCAGCCUGAGAUAAGGUUGUGAGUUUCUUAAUUUGUUAACUGUCGCAGUUUAAGAAACUACAAAUUUGGCAGUUAGGCUGUCGUUUAUGUCACGGGGACGACAGCGAGACAAACGUGAAUAGACGGAUAAUCAGCGCGUUGAUUCGCGGAUAUUCGUUGAGAAACAAAUAUUUCAACUAAGCCUGUAGAAGAUUCUUAAACCGUAUUUUCGGACCCGGGUUCGAUUCCCGGCGUCUCCACAU
rnacentral:tmRNA from 1 species